ensembl:snRNA U6 U6 spliceosomal RNA
GUGCUCCCUUCAGCGGUCCAUAUACUAAAAUCGGAACAAUAUAUGGGAGAUUAGCAUGGCUCCUGUGCAAGGAUGACCUGCAAAUUUGUGAAGUUUUUAUUCUCACA